rnacentral:misc_RNA from 1 species
CCUAAUAGAUACCCUCUUUGUUCUAACACAUUCCAUAAGAUCUUUUUAUGUAAAUUGUAAUGUUCUUUCAAAAAAUAAAAAAAGUUAAGUUUUAAUGUCAAGCAAGGUACUUCAUUUCUAUACAUAUUGGUUUUAACUAAUGAUUUUUUGAAACUAUAAUGCUUAACAAGUACACUGCCUUUUGUAUAUUUCUAAAUGGUAUUAACACUCACAUGUUCUAAGCUUAGAAUGCAUUGUACACGAUAACAAUUUUGACGGUUAAUACGAAAGGGAUGAAGAAAUAUAAUGUUUGAUAACAAUUUUAAGCUUCUUUGAUGCCAGUACGUAUGCUUUAAUGUUAUAUUUUGUCAAAUUUUUGGCAUUCCUUGUUUUACUAUUCUAUUGUAAUGAUUCGCAUUUUGGUAACCUUGUUUUGAUUUGUCUCUAACAAUUAAAAUAUACUGCACUGCAUUAAAGCUGUGAGAGUAGUGUAUGCAGAACCCUCUAUUGUUGAUUAAAAUGCGAAGUUGUCUAAAGUUUGGCCUGUGUCUAUCUACUUGUGUCUUAUGCUGAGUGAGUUUUAUUGCAGUUCAAUGAAGCAUUUUCCUUGAAAUAAUAUACUUUAUUAUCUUUUUUGUGUUUAAUCGAAGGUCGAUGAAGCAUCCAACUG